rnacentral:rRNA from 1 species
UACGGGGGGGGGCAAGCGUUGUUCGGAUUCAUUGGGCGUAAAGGGUGCGUAGGCGGCGCGGUAAGUCGGGUGUGAAAUUUCGGAGCUUAACUCCGAAACUGCAUUCGAUACUGGCGUGCUUGAGGACUGGAGAGGAGACUGGAAUUUACGGUGUAGCGGUGAAAUGCGUAGAUAUCGUAAGGAAGACCAGUGGCGAAGGCGGGUCUCUGGACAGUUCCUGACGCUGAGGCACGAAGGUCAGGGGAGCAAACGGG